rnacentral:rRNA from 1 species
UACGUAGGGUGCGAGCGUUGUCCGGAAUUAUUGGGCGUAAAGAGCUCGUAGGCGGUCUGUCGCGUCGAUCGUGAAAACUUGGGGCUUAACCCUGAGCUUGCGGUCGAUACGGGCAUGACUGGAGUUCGGCAGGGGAGACUGGAAUUCCUGGUGUAGCGGUGAAAUGCGCAGAGAUCCGGAAGAACACCGGAGGCGAAGGCGGCUUGCUGGACCUGGUCUGACGCUGAGGCGCGAAAGCGUGGGGAGCGAACAGG